AAUCCAUAGGUUAAUGAGGCGAACCGGGGGAACUGAAACAUCUAAGUACCCCGAGGAAAAGAAAUCAACCGAGAUUCCCCCAGUAGCGGCGAGCGAACGGGGAGGAGCCCAGAGCCUGAAUCAGCAUGUGUGUUAGUGGAAGCGUCUGGAAAGGCGCGCGAUACAGGGUGACAGCCCCGUACACAAAAGCGCAUGUGCUGUGAGCUCGAUGAGUAGGGCGGGACACGUGGUAUCCUGUCUGAAUAUGGGGGGACCAUCCUCCAAGGCUAAAUACUCCUGACUGACCGAUAGUGAACCAGUACCGUGAGGGAAAGGCGAAAAGAACCCCGGCGAGGGGAGUGAAAAAGAACCUGAAACCGUGUACGUACAAGCAGUGGGAGCACAGGUUUACCUGUGUGACUGCGUACCUUUUGUAUAAUGGGUCAGCGACUUAUAUUCUGUAGCAAGGUUAACCGAAUAGGGGAGCCGGAGGGAAACCGAGUCUUAAUUGGGCGUUAAGUUGCAGGGUAUAGACCCGAAACCCGGUGAUCUAGCCAUGGGCAGGUUGAAGGUUGGGUAACACUAACUGGAGGACCGAACCGACUAAUGUUGAAAAAUUAGCGGAUGACCUGUGGCUGGGGGUGAAAGGCCAAUCAAACCGGGAGAUAGCUGGUUCUCCCCGAAAGCUAUUUAGGUAGCGCCUCGUGAAUUCAUCUCCGGGGGUAGAGCACUGUUUCGGCUAGGGGGCCAUCCCGGCUUACCAACCCGAUGCAAACUGCGAAUACCGGAGAAUGUUAUCACGGGAGACACACGGCGGGUGCUAACGUCCGUCGUGAAGAGGGAAACAACCCAGACCGCCAGCUAAGGUCCCAAAGUCAUGGUUAAGUGGGAAACGAUGUGGGAAGGCCCAGACAGCCAGGAUGUUGGCUUAGAAGCAGCCAUCAUUUAAAGAAAGCGUAAUAGCUCACUGGUCGAGUCGGCCUGCGCGGAAGAUGUAACGGGGCUAAACCAUGCACCGAAGCUGCGGCAGCGACACUGUGUGUUGUUGGGUAGGGGAGCGUUCUGUAAGCCUGUGAAGGUGGCCUGUGAGGGUUGCUGGAGGUAUCAGAAGUGCGAAUGCUGACAUAAGUAACGAUAAAGCGGGUGAAAAGCCCGCUCGCCGGAAGACCAAGGGUUCCUGUCCAACGUUAAUCGGGGCAGGGUGAGUCGACCCCUAAGGCGAGGCCGAAAGGCGUAGUCGAUGGGAAACGGGUUAAUAUUCCCGUACUUGGUGUUACUGCGAAGGGGGGACGGAGAAGGC
rnacentral:rRNA from 2 species